rfam:Nippostrongylus brasiliensis genome assembly, scaffold: NBR_scaffold0001089
GUCUCAGUAGCAUAGUGGUCAGUGCACAGCUCCGGAAAGGUUGAGACGAGGGUUCGAAUCUCGCCUGAGAUG